rnacentral:rRNA from 1 species
GACGUAGGGAGCGAGCGUUGUCCGGAUUCAUUGGGCGUAAAGAGCUCGUAGGCGGUUCGGCAAGUCGGGUGUGAAACCUCCAGGCUCAACCUGGAGACGCCACCCGAUACUGCUGUGACUUGAGUCCGGUAGGGGACCACGGAAUUCCUGGUGUAGCGGUGAAAUGCGCAGAUAUCAGGAGGAACACCGGUGGCGAAGGCGGUGGUCUGGGCCGGCACUGACGCUGAGGAGCGAAAGCGUGGGGAGCGAACAGG